CCUACGGGCGGCAGCAGUGGGGGAUAUUGGACAAUGGGGGGAACCCUGAUCCAGCGACGCCGCGUGAGUGAAGAAGUAUUUCGGUAUGUAAAGCUCUGUCAGCAGGGAAGAAAGAAAUGACGGUACCUGACCAAGAAGCCCCGGCGAACUACGUGCCAGCAGCCGCGGUAAUACGUAGGGGGCAAGCGUUAUCCGGAAUUACUGGGUGUAAAGGGGGCGUAGACGGUUAAGUAAGUCUGGAGUGAAAGGCCUGGGCCCAACCCCGGGACUGCUCUGGAAACUAUUGAACUUGAGUGCAGGAGAGGUAAGCGGAAUUCCUAGUGUAGCGGUGAAAUGCGUAGAUAUUAGGAGGAACACCAGUGGCGAAGGCGGCUUACUGGACUGUAACUGACGUUGAGGCUCGAAAGCGUGGGGAGCAAACAGGAUUAGAUACCCUGGUAGUC
rnacentral:rRNA from 1 species